rnacentral:tRNA from 1 species
GCGCCCAUGGCCUAAUGGAUAGGGCACCUGACUACGAAUCAGGCGGUUGCAGGUUCGAAUCCUGCUGGGCGCG